rnacentral:lncRNA from 1 species
CAACCACCACAGAGCUGCUCAAUUUGUCUGGUACGUGGACCCAUGGCUCCUGAGAGGUGGGAAGGGGCUGCCUGCAUCCGUGGGCCCUGAAUCACGACAUAGAGGAAGAUGCCUCUGCUUCUCGAUGUUGGAGGUGGGAAGAAAGCAAGGGCAGGACAAUGCCCUCCAGGAGAUGCCAAUGUGGAUGAAUUUAGCCUGCAGUACAGGCAAGGGAAGUGAGGCUCAAAGAUGUUGGUCAAGGAUGUAAUAAAGGCAUAAUUUGAACCCAGAUCUGCAGACCGAAGCCCGUGCCCACUCUACAUAAC